GGUUGUAUAGUGUAGUGGUGAUCACAUCGGAUUCUGACUUAAAAAAUCAUAAUUUCCGGGAACCCCGGUUCGAUCCCGGGUACGACCU